rnacentral:rRNA from 1 species
GGAUUAGAUACCCCACUAUGCUUAGCCCUAAACAUAAAUAGUUCUAUAACAAAACAAUUCGCCAGAGAACUACUAGCAACAGCUUAAAACUCAAAGGACUUGGCGGUGCUUUAUAUCCCUCUAGAGGAGCCUGUUCUAUAAUCGAUAAACCCCGAUAAACCUCACCAUCCCUUGCUAAUACAGUCUAUAUACCGCCAUCUUCAGCAAACCCUUAAAAGGUAGAGCAGUAAGCAGGAUCAUCACGCAUAAAAAAGUUAGGUCAAGGUGUAACUUAUGGGAUGGGAAGAAAUGGGCUACAUUUUCUAUUUUAAGAACACUUUACGAAAGUUUUUAUGAAACUAGAAACUGAAGGAGGAUUUAGUAGUAAAUUAAGAAUAGAGAGCUUAAUUGAAUAGGGCCAUGAAGCACGCACACACCGCCCGUCACCCUCCUCA